rnacentral:rRNA from 1 species
GUCUACGGCCAUACCACCCUGAACGCGCCCGAUCUCGUCUGAUCUCGGAAGCUAAGCAGGGUCGGGCCUGGUUAGUACUUGGAUGGAAGACUACACUUCCUGAGCAUUGACUCUGGGUCAGACC